UACGAAGGUGGCAAGCGUUGUUCGGGUUUACUGGGCGUACAGGGAGCGUAGGCGGUUGGAUAAGCCCUCCGUGAAAUCUCCAGGCUUAACCCGGAAAGUGCAGAGGGGACUGUUCAGCUAGAGGAUGGGAGAGGAGCGCGGAAUUCCCGGUGUAGCGGUGAAAUGCGUAGAGAUCGGGAGGAAGGCCGGUGGCGAAGGCGGCGCUCUGGAACAUUUCUGACGCUGAGGCUCGAAAGCGUGGGGAGCAAACAGGG
rnacentral:rRNA from 1 species